rnacentral:rRNA from 1 species
GAUGAACGCUGGCGGCGUGCCUAAUACAUGCAAGUCGAGCGAACAGAUGAGGAGCUUGCCCCUCUGACGUUAGCGGCGGACGGGUGAGUAACACGUGGAUAACCUACCUAUAAGACUGGGAUAACUACGGGAAACCGGAGCUAAUACCGGAUAAUAUAUUGAACCGCAUGGUUCAAUAGUGAAAGACGGUUUUGCUGUCACUUAUAGAUGGAUCCGCGCCGCAUUAGCUAGUUGGUAAGGUAACGGCUUACCAAGGCAACGAUGCGUAGCCGACCUGAGAGGGUGAUCGGCCACACUGGAACUGAGACACGGUCCAGACUCCUACGGGAGGCAGCAGUAGGGAAUCUUCCGCAAUGGGCGAAAGCCUAACGGAGCAACGCCGCGUGAGUGAUGAAGGUCUUCGGAUCGUAAAACUCUGUUAUUAGGGAAGAACAAAUGUGUAAGUAACUAUGCACGUCUUGACGGUACCUAAUCAGAAAGCCACGGCUAACUACGUG